GGGUGGAUACCGAAGCGGUCAAACGGGGCAGACUGUAAAUCUGCUGGCUUAGCCUUCACAGGUUCGAAUCCUGUUCUGCCCACCA
rnacentral:tRNA from 1 species